UACGUAGGUGGCAAGCGUUGUCCGGAAUUAUUGGGCGUAAAGGGCUCGCAGGCGGUUUCUUAAGUCUGAUGUGAAAGCCCCCGGCUCAACCGGGGAGGGUCAUUGGAAACUGGGGAACUUGAGUGCAGAAGAGGAGAGUGGAAUUCCACGUGUAGCGGUGAAAUGCGUAGAGAUGUGGAGGAACACCAGUGGCGAAGGCGACUCUCUGGUCUGUAACUGACGCUGAGGAGCGAAAGCGUGGGGAGCGAAC
rnacentral:rRNA from 1 species